CCUACGGGAGGCAGCAGUGGGGAAUAUUGCACAAUGGGGGGAACCCUGAUGCAGCGACGCCGCGUGAGUGAAGAAGUAUUUCUGUAUGUAAAGCUCUGUCAGCCGGGAAGAAGAAAGACGGUACCUGACCAAGCAGCCCCGGCUAACUACGUGACAGCAGCCGCGGUAAUACGUAGGGGGCAAGCGUUAUCCGGAAUUACUGGGUGUAAAGGGAGCGUAGACGGUAAUGCAAGUCUGGAGUGUAAGGCGGGGGCCCACCCCGCGGACUGCUCUGGAAACUGUGUAACUUGAGUGCAGGAGGGGCAGGCGGAAUUCCUAGUGUAGCGGUGAAAUGCGUAGAUAUUAGGAGGAACACCAGUGGCGAAGGCGGCCUGCUGGACUGUAACUGACGUUGAGGCACGAAAGCGUGGGGAGCAAACAGGAUUAGAUACCCUUGUAGUC
rnacentral:rRNA from 1 species